GACGAACGCUGGCGGCGUGCUUAACACAUGCAAGUCGAACGGAAAGGCCCAGCUUGCUGGGUGCUCGAGUGGCGAACGGGUGAGUAACACGUGGGUGAUCUGCCCCUAACUUCGGGAUAAGCUUGGGAAACUGGGUCUAAUACCGGAUAGGACAAUCGUUUAGUGUCGGUUGUGGAAAGUUUUUUCGGUUAGGGAUGAGCCCGCGGCCUAUCAGCUUGUUGGUGGGGUAAUGGCCUACCAAGGCGUCGACGGGUAGCCGGCCUGAGAGGGUGGACGGCCACAUUGGGACUGAGAUACGGCCCAGACUCCUACGGGAGGCAGCAGUGGGGAAUAUUGCACAAUGGGAGCAAGCCUGAUGCAGCGACGCCGCGUGGGGGAUGACGGCCUUCGGGUUGUAAACCUCUUUCGACAGGGACGAAGCUUUGGUGACGGUACCUGUAUAAGAAGCACCGGCUAACUACGUG
rnacentral:rRNA from 1 species